GAAGGAUUCAUAAACGACAACCAGCCCCUGAACUCUGCCUUCUGAAUCCCAAUUCCCAAGCCAACUUGGAGAACGUCCAGCGUCUCUUCUAAUCAAGAACUAUGUGACAUCUCCUAUUUUGAAGAAACUUUGUUAAGUUGAUCAGAUGAUUUACAUGUGAUCACAGAUGUUACAAAAUCUAAAUGCCCCGCCUGGGUCGCCCAGGUUCUUGAAGGACUUCUGAAAAAGCCCCGUGCUCCUUUCCCCCGUGAUCCUGCUCACAUCCUCCCUCCCCACCAGCCCAGUGAGAAAACUCCAUCCCCCCUUCAACUUGACCGACACUUCAGGGGGCUUGGAGAGGUGCCACAGCCGGGAGAGCUCUCUGCACACUUCACAUUAUCAUCAGCGCUCUGCUCACAAGAUUCCCGCCUCACAAGGCUAAAUGUCUCUUGACUCCUAUUGAACCCUGGCUGGAGAAAAACAAAGAACAAAAAACCAAUGAGAACUGUGAGGAAGUAUGGGAAGGGUUUCGAGUAGAGGAGUUGUCAGACCCUGUGAGCAAGCUCCCUCUGGCUGCUGCUGGGCAUGGAUUGUGCGAACAGCGGACGAGUGCCUGCUACAAUAACCCAGAGGAGAGACGAGAGGGCCUUGGACCUGAAAGAAGAGCGGAGUCCAUGUCUGGACAGCACGGAGAGCAGAGGCUGCCAAAGAGACAGCCAACAUCUACAUCACAAAAGAGCCAUGGCCAACGGAGAAAGCGGAAAGAAUGCACACUGCCCUGUACUACGUGGAGAAGGAGCCAGCAAGCAGUAUGGUACUGUAUUCUUUUUCAGCUUCUAAAAUAAUAGUAACAUCUCCAAUAGUGUUUCAUAAAAUCAGGGCAAACUAAGGAGUGGUCAUCUUAAUAAAGGGAUUCUUCAAGAUGUUCUUCAGAAUAUUGAAUAAAAAUGUUACUAUGGAAUAUUUUUACAGAGUAUUUUAAUCACUUUAAAGUAUGUAAGGUAAGGGGAAUGUUACUAGUAAAGGGGCACUUUUAACAAAUGGAUAAGACUGGAGGUGGAGUGAUAUAGUGAAACAUUUAUGGACCAACCCAGGCUCAAAUCCUGCCUUCACCACUUACUAGCUGUGUGACCUUGGAUGAGUUACUGAAUUUCUUUGAACUUCAGUUUCCUUAUCUAUAGCAUGGAGAUGAAAAUUAUCUAUUUCAAAGAAUUCUUCUGAGGAUCAAAUGACACUGUGUAUACAAGAUGUCUUACAGAAGGUUGGGUAUAUAUUAAGCAUUUG
rnacentral:lncRNA from 1 species